AUUUUCAGGUCUCACAGUCAUCUUUCACUCCACCCAGGCAGGCAGCCACCAGCAGGCACCAGGCACACACUGGCUGCACACAAGCCACAUGGAGGUAGGCAUGUUGGGAACAAGCAAAAGAAACUAUUGUAAGUACUACUGUUUCAUUUUCAGACUCCAUUUAAUCAUAGAGGAAAAAGUAAAUUCAAGGUUCCAAGCCCUAGGGGAGCUGCGGACUUCCCAAUAGAUGAGCAGUUUUUAUUAUAAGAAAACAAUUGUCGGAAACUAGGGACCUCUCAGGGUCAGCUUGUAAAGGAGCAAUUGUCUGAAUCCAGACAUCUAAAGAACAACUUCUCCAUCUCGCUAGAAGAACUAGGAUCAUGUUCCCAGGCCCAGGGACCUACUCCUAACCUGACUGGUGAAAACUCCCUAGCUCAAUGCCUUUUAUCAAAAUAUGAUUGGACAAUGCUACAGCCCACCCUUAAAUUCAGCUCUCAAGUCUUUUCUUUGGCCUGAUCAAUCAGUAGCUGCUUGACUGAAAUACAUUUUUGUGAUCUGCAUGGACCUGAUGUUUGAGUUAUGUUGAAUUUGAGCUCACCCCACAACUGACACACAGAUCUAAGAAUCACACAGCUAGUAAAGCUGGAGGCUCUAAACUCAGGCCUCUUCCCUCAAGGCCAUAUUUGUAGAGUAUGCUUGCUAGUUUCAUGUCAAUUUGUCUUAUACUAGAUGCCUAAGUCACUGUUCUAUGGAAAUUCUUAUAUCGAUAAGCAUUUAAUGGGGCCUUGCUUACAGUUUCAGAGGUUUAUUCAUGGUGGCACGCUGGUAGACAUGGUGCUGGAAAAAGUAGCUGAGGGUUCUACAACCAGAUCAGGAAGAGACUCUGGGCUCCUCAUCAGCUUUUGAAAAUUCAAAGCUCGAGAGAAACCCUGAGAGGCAGUAGUGUUAGUGUCAUUGCUUUGGUGACCUACGCACAAAGGCAGUCAUGCUCACACAACCCCGGAGUUGGGAAUUUGAUGCAAGAAGAUGAGGAUGAUGUGCACAGAUGUGGCCGCUGCCAAGUGGAAUUCACUGCCUUGGAGGACUUUGUCCAGCACAAGAUUCAGAAGACCUGCCAUCGGGCCCCACAAGAGGCCCUGCCCACCACCCCUGCCACCACUGCACUGCUGGGCAAGGAGGUGGUACCCACAGCAGCAGAGGGAGGUCCAGAGGAACCCAUCACUGUGGCCCACAUAGUGGUGGAGGCCACCUCUCUAGCAGAAGACAUCAGCCAUGCUCCUGACCUUGUUGGAAGUGGGCACAUCAAAGAGGUCAUUGUGGCUGCUGAGGCAGAGCCAGGGGAUGGCGAGAUGGCAGAGGCUCCAGGCAGUCCUAACCAUUAGGAACUUGGGCUUAUUGGGGAGGGCGAGCAGGCCCAAGUCAAGCUGCUGGUGAACAAGGAAGGCUGCUACAUGUGCAUGCUAUGUCACAAGACCUUCAAAACGGGCAGCAUCCUCAAGGCCCACAUGGUAUGCUACAAGUGUGGCCGUGGCUUUGCAGAGCAUGGUACACUCAACCGGCACCUGCGCACUAAAGGGGGCUGCCUGCUGGAAGUGGAGGAGUUGCUGGUGUCUGAGGAAAGCCCCUCUGCGGCUGCCACUGUGCUUGCAGAAGACCCCCACGCCGUGCUGGUGGAGUUCUCAUCUGUGGUAGCUGAUACCCAAGAGUAUAUUAUUGAGUCAACUGUCCGGGCUACUGCAGAUGACACAGAGACCAGUGAAGCCACCGAGAUCAUUGAGGGUACCCAGACAGAGGUGGACAGUCACAUCAUGAAGGUGGUACAGCAGAUCGUGCACCAGGCUGGUGCUGGGCACCAGAUCAUCGUGCAGAAUGUCACCAUGGACCAGGAGGCAGCCCCGGGCUCAGAGGCAGCUGCUGCGGACACGAUCACCAUUGCCACUCCUGAGAGUCUUACUGAGCAGGUGGCCAUGACGCUGGCUUCAGCAAUCAGUGAGGGUACUGUGCUCACAGCCCGGGCAGGUUCAAACAGUACUGAACAGGCCACUGUGACAAUGGUGUCAUCAGAGGACAUAGAGAUCCUUGAGCAUGGAGGAGAGCUGGUCAUUGCUUCACCAGAGGGCCAAAUUGAGGUGCAGACAGUCAUCGUAUAGUUGGAGGGUCUCUGCUGUGGAAGAACAAGGACCUUGAGUAUCUGCCAGUACCUGCCUGGUCAGCAGACAUCCAAGUUCAGACAGGCAAAGGAGAGAGAGAGUGAAGAGUGAACAUGCAGUUUUGGAGUUUUUUGUUCCUUUGUUUUCUGCUUUACAA